rnacentral:rRNA from 1 species
AGUAGGAAAUCUUCCACAAUGGGCGGAAGCCUGAUGGAGCAACGCCGCGUGAGUGAAGAAGGCCUUCGGGUUGUAAAGCUCUGUCAUCUGGGACGAAGAUACAGGAGAGGGAAUGCUCCUGUAGUGACGGUACCAGAGGAGGAAGCCACGGCUAACUACGUGCCAGCAGCCGCGGUAAUACGUAGGUGGCGAGCGUUGUCCGGAAUGACUGAGCGUAAAGCGCGCGCAGGCGGCCGCCUAAGUCUGGGGUGAAAUUCCGGGGCUCAACCCUGGGCAUGCCUGAGAUACUGGGUGGCUUGAGCAUCGGAGAGGCAAGGGGAAUUCCAUGUGUAGCGGUGAAAUGCGUAGAGAUAUGGAGGAACACCAGUGGCGAAGGCGCCUUGCUGGCCGGUCGCUGACGCUGAGGCGCGAAAGCGUGGGGAGCAAA